GGUCGGAAAAUCAAUACCAGAACACAAAUAUUCCCAUUCUUGAAAUUUCAAGCAUUCUUCUAUCUCAAAACCCUCACUUUUCAGAAAAUCAAAAUCUAUCUUUCUUCUGAUUGUAAUAGUCCUAGAAGAGAAAUGGACCAACCUUUUUGACCUAAAAGAAGAUGAAGAUGGUGAAGAGGUCGGAGGAGAGGACUGAGUGGGGGC
rnacentral:lncRNA from 1 species